GUCGAUAUUUGUUACAAAGGUGUAGUUACAGAUCUAUUAUAGAUUUUGACUGAAAUUGUUUCAAAUACAAACAGAUUUACCUCGGACUUCAAUUCCAAAGCAUCAGAUAUAUUUCUGAAUUUCACGAGAACGAUAAUGGAAAUAAGAUUGGUGUACGUGACUUUAAUUAUGAUAACCAUGAACAUACAGAACGUUUUAGUAUCUUCACUGACAGCACUGGGAAUUUCGACGUAUUAUACUUCUCAAACAUCAACAGAUAUUUCUAUUAUUGGAAGUUCAACUGAAAUGAUAUCUACAGAUGAUAUAUAUUUAACUUCUUUUCCAGUCAGUGUAUCGUUGAAUGCUACAGAUAUGGACACCUAUAUUAACACGACUUUUCAGCAUUCUGAUUCCACUGUUAGUCCAAGUUUUCUAGUAGAUUACCUGACACGUUUAACUGGUGAGACGUCUUCGUAUUUUUCGCGAGAGGAAAGUAUGCAAUUUAGUUAUGUCAUCUCAUCGUCAAUGGACGAAAACGUCUCAUUUUCAUCCAUAUUAUUCAGUCCAAGUUCAGAAACACCGUUUGAUUCGUUACAAUCAGAAACAGAGCUAUCAUUACAUACUACCUUUUCCGUAUCAACUUCUUUGAUUGACUCUGACUCAUAUUCGUCAAUGAUUUCUGUCAUGCCUACCAUACAGCUUGUAUCUACAGGUUCUGAAACAACUACCGCAAAUAGAGACAGUACCAACAUGUUUCCAUCGACGGCUCAAACAAUAACAGAGGUAAUAACCAUGUGUUCAUGCAAUUCCGAAGAAAGCCAUUUUCAAUCGGAUUCUGACAUUACUUCAAGUACAAUUGAUCAACCAUGUUACACUUCAACCAUACAUCCAACAACAUGUUCGUCAAAUGUUGAAGCAACGUCUGUAUUUGAGACGACAACUGUUGACAAUAAGCAAUGUAGCUGCUCAUUACAAGCAGAAUCCAGCCAGUCUAUAACUAAUAUUAGACAAUCAACUUUUGCCGUUGUUUAGAAAGUUAUAAUUAACAUGAUUAACCAGAGUCCGACAUCCAUAUGACGAGUGAUAACGGAUCAACAGUUACAGAGUACCAAUAAACGAUGUCAUGACAGUAUUUUAGCAGAGAAUGACUAGAACAGGCCGAAUCUAUAACUAUAUUGGACAAAUAGAGGAGACAAAUAGAUGGAUUUGCUUGGUGAAUCAUACCUUCAAGAACUACAUUAUUCAUUUGUUAAUGCUAAUUUUCAUGAACAGCUAUUACUUUUAUCUAAAUAUUCAGACACCAUCAGUGUGAAAAUGGAACUAUCAAUACGCGUUAUUAGUUCUUCGCCCGGAAUGCUUUUAACUUCUGAUUUUCCUUUGAUAAGAAUCAGCAUUUAUCUUGAUUAUUUGAUUCUUAUUGUUCAUUAUAUUGUAAUAAAAUCAUUCGUGAAAGUCAAAACUUUAUGUCGGGAUCUGGCAAGAGUAAGGAUUUAUGAUCGUUUCCCGUAAUUCGAGCGUAACUGUUUUAUGACAUAGAAAUUGUUAAUCUUGUUCCCCUGAAACCAGUGGGUGAUGUGAAUAAGACCCGACGUAUUUGGAGAUCAUAGCCAUCGUUCUCUUGAGUUUGAAUCUUGAGGAACUUGCGCAUCCAAUAUUGCUACCAAUAGUGCACAGACGUGUCAGUGUAAUCACUCUUAUCGGCGUUCUGUUAUGAAUGUCAGAUCUCGAUAUUUAAAGUAAAGUGUAGCCGUUAUUUUCACAUAAACUAUUCGUGUGUUAUGUUUUGCCUUUUACUUGAUUCUUUAAUUAAAUGAUCAAUUGAAAGAGUUGGUCCUGCUUCCUUUCAUAAAAAAGAACGUAUAAACAAGUAUAUCGUCUAAAAGAGAGAUAAAUACUACUUCAAUAGAUAAGUAUGUAAAACUUAAUACGCAUUCAUUUAUUUUCGUGGGUAUAAAUUUUCGUGGAUUAAGGAAAACAAGCAUUUUCGUAGAUAUAAGAUUUCGUGGUUUUGCCAAUCUCUGCAUGCAAAGCCUAUAGAAAAUUUGUAUUUUUUUUUUACAUUUAAAUUCGUGGUUCACCUGAACCAACGAAAACCACAAAAAUCGGUAUUCAAUGAAUAAUAAUGAAUCCACAGUAUUCUCUUAAACUGACAUUAUCAAGAUGCCUUAUUCCUUGAUUGGUAACAUGUUUGUUACGUUUGGAGGACAUAUUUUUUAAUAAACAAUCGCAAUUCUAUUUCAAACUAACUGUGUUCCUAUUCUUAUCGACGUGUGUAUUUAUUUAUAUGAAGUUAUAAAAAAGAAGAUGUGGUAUGGUUGCUAAUGAGACAACUAUCCACAAGAGACCAAAACGACACAAAAAUUAACAAUUUUAGGUCACCGCACGGCCUUCAACAAUGAGCAAAUCCCAUACCGCAUAGUCAGACUACUAGUAUAUACUUCUAAAGAAAAGAAAAAUAACUCAGUAGUAGAACAGCGGCAUUCUACUGUUACAGUAUCCUAACUGUAUUUUUCGCCGUGGAUGAUAUUCGUUCACUAAAAUAUUUCAAAACUUGAUGAUAUUGUUGUGUUAUCCUUUUAUAAAAUUAUUUUUAUGGAAAAGUCCAGGCCUAAUUCGCAAAAUAUUUUAUGUUUCUGUGAUACCGGGGAGUUUUUUUUUCGAGGGAUACCGAUUGUUGUGGUUUUCGUGGAUUCCUAUAUCUACGAAUUUUAGUGUUCAACGAAAUACCACAACUUUUCUGCACCAAAGGCAAAUUUCGACAAUUUAUGUUAUGAUAAACUAAAUCUAAUAUAGUAAAAAAAAAUAUUAUGACUGUUUACUUAAAGCUUCAGCAAGGGGUUACCCUUAUUAUCCUUUAAGAAAUUUGAAAUGUCCGACUUCGUUCUAUUAAAUGCUAACCAAAAUAACAGUUUUGAUCGAUGAGAGUUAGAUUUCAGGUUAUUUCAAGCUGUAGUAUUUAAGGGUUCCAAAUUCUCAUACGAAAAAAAAAAUAUGGUUGGGCUUUCUUUUUUUAAUUCCAAUAGCAAUAAGUUCUAUUAUUCCAAAUUCAUGAAUAGGACUGUUUAUGUGACCGCUUUAAAGUGACAUCUGUUUGACCUUAAUCAAAACAUAUGAUGCUCUUUUAUCUAUCAUGUCUAGUUAAUUUCUGUCAUCAAACGGCCUUUUAAUUUCACGUAUAUAACAUUUAAAAAUGUUCACUAUGCCUUAUCCCUUAAUGAAGACAAUGUGUAAGCAU